UGCGUAGGUGGCAUGGUAAGUCGGAUGUGAAAUCCUGGGGCUCAACCCCGGAACUGCAUUCGAUACUGCUGCGCUAGAGUACUGGAGAGGAGAUUGGAAUUUACGGUGUAGCAGUGAAAUGCGUAGAUAUCGUAAGGAAGACCAGUGGCGAAGGCGGAUCUCUGGACAGUUACUGACACUGAGGCACGAAGGCCAGGGGAGCAAACG
rnacentral:rRNA from 1 species